GUGCUUGCUUCAGCAGCACAUAUACUAAAAUUGGAACAAUACAGAGAAGAUUAGCAGGGCCCAGGCACAAGGAUGACAUGCAAACGUGUGAAGUGUUCCAGAUUUUU